CGGGGCGUAGCGCAGUCUGGUUAGCGCACUUGGUUUGGGACCAAGGGGUCGUGAGUUCGAAUCCCACCGCCCCGACCA
rnacentral:tRNA from 1 species